rnacentral:rRNA from 1 species
CUCCACCGGAGCUUGCUCCACCGGAAAAAGAGGAGUGGCGAACGGGUGAGUAACACGUGGGUAACCUGCCCAUCAGAAGGGGAUAACACUUGGAAACAGGUGCUAAUACCGUAUAACAAUCGAAACCGCAUGGUUUUGAUUUGAAAGGCGCUUUCGGGUGUCGCUGAUGGAUGGACCCGCGGUGCAUUAGCUAGUUGGUGAGGUAACGGCUCACCAAGGCCACGAUGCAUAGCCGACCUGAGAGGGUGAUCGGCCACAUUGGGACUGAGACACGGCCCAAACUCCUACGGGAGGCAGCAGUAGGGAAUCUUCGGCAAUGGACGAAAGUCUGACCGAGCAACGCCGCGUGAGUGAAGAAGGUUUUCGGAUCGUAAAACUCUGUUGUUAGAGAAGAACAAGGAUGAGAGUAACUGUUCAUCCCUUGACGGUAUCUAACCAGAAAGCCACGGCUAACUACGUGCCAGCAGCCGCGGUAAUACGUAGGUGGCAAGCGUUGUCCGGAUUUAUUGGGCGUAAAGCGAGCGCAGGCGGUUUCUUAAGUCUGAUGUGAAAGCCCCCGGCUCAACCGGGGAGGGUCAUUGGAAACUGGGAGACUUGAGUGCAGAAGAGGAGAGUGGAAUUCCAUGUGUAGCGGUGAAAUGCGUAGAUAUAUGGAGGAACACCAGUGGCGAAGGCGGCUCUCUGGUCUGUAACUGACGCUGAGGCUCGAAAGCGUGGGGAGCAAACAGGAUUAGAUACCCUGGUAGUCCACGCCGUAAACGAUGAGUGCUAAGUGUUGGAGGGUUUCCGCCCUUCAGUGCUGCAGCUAACGCAUUAAGCACUCCGCCUGGGGAGUACGACCGCAAGGUUGAAACUCAAAGGAAUUGACGGGGGCCCGCACAAGCGGUGGAGCAUGUGGUUUAAUUCGAAGCAACGCGAAGAACCUUACCAGUCUUGACAUCCUUUGAUCACCUCUAGAAAAUAGAGCUUCCCCUUCGGG